rnacentral:lncRNA from 1 species
UGAAGACCCUGCAUCGAAUUGCAAAUAUGAUAAGGGCUUCCGGUAUCCAAUACCCAGGCAGUAGUAUCACAAAUGAAAAAGUUGCAAGGUGUUAUCAUAUAAAUACCUUACUUCUUCUUCAGCCUGUUUGGGUCCAGGGAGGCAAUGUAUAGAGGACAGUUCCUCUUCUAGUGCCCUUGCUUCUUGCAAAAGAAGCACUCCGUCUGGCUUUGGUCG